UUACUAAUAAGCAAGGUGUUUGUCUGGUCCGUUUUUUUUUUAGAGAGAUAGGUAGCACGCUGCCCGCUUCGUUUAUUUCAUUUUAGAAAUAAACUUAGCUGGAAAUGUGAAUCAACUAGGAUUCGAACUUGGGUCUCGGAUACCAACCAUCAAGCCUUUUGCCACUUGCUCUAAGGACGGUCAGUAUAAUGCGCUGUCAACUAAAGUUGAAAUAGUGUCGAAAGCAGCUAAAUUUUUUUUAAGUACCUUCCUAGGAGAACGAAUUUAAAUAUUCUUGGAUUCAGUAUUGAUUAUUAAAGCGAUUCACUUUAGGUCUCACCAAUCUAAGUCGAUCAGGAUGUUAGAACGAAGCUCAAAAUACUUUAGGCCCUCUUCAGUGAACGCCUUUUCCUUUCGAUGGAAUUCUCGCUUCUUCAGAAAUGCUAUGCAAACUGAUUAACUAGCUAAUUAUGGUCCGUCUAGCAAAAAAUAUACUGUGUGGUCCUCUUUCGAAGAUUUUUUCU
rnacentral:lncRNA from 1 species